GAUGAACGCUGGCGGCAUGCCUAAGACAUGCAAGUCGUACGAAGCGGCCCACUGAUAUUUUGUGCUUGCACAAGAUUGAUUUGGAUUUCCGCUUAGUGGCGCAAGGGUGAGUAACACGUGGGUUAUCUGCCUCAGAGACUGGGAUAACAAUUGGAAACGAUUGCUAGUACCGGAUGAUAUAUAAGGUGAUUCGUUGCCUUAUAUUAAAAGGAGCCUUUAAAGCUUCACUUUGAGAUGAGCCUGCGGCGUAUUAGCUAGUUGGUGGGGUAAUGGCCUACCAAGGCGACGAUGCGUAGCCGACCUGAGAGGGUGAUCGGCCACACUGGGACUGAGACACGGCCCAGACUCCUACGGGAGGCAGCAGUGGGGAAUAUUGCACAAUGGGGGAAACCCUGAUGCAGCGACGCCGCGUGAGUGAAGAAGUAUUUCGGUAUGUAAAGCUCUAUCAGCAAGGAAGAAAAUGACGGUACUUGACUAAGAA
rnacentral:rRNA from 1 species